UGACGGUGAUGAUGAUGACGACAUGUGUCCUCAUCCUGAAGGCGUAUGUGUGGGUUUUCAGUCACUACCUCUUCUGAACUGUCA